UGUGGGUGCUUGGUUUGGAUUGAAAUGGCUUAAAACUCAAAAAGUGGAACUCUGUUUUUGAUGGAGAAACCUGGUUUCGAGGAAGAGUUUUUCUAGCUUCAAAAUAUACGGAAAUGCAUGGAAUACAUUCCCCUAUUUAUAGGGAUGGUGAGAGAAUUGUUUGGAGGGAGAAUGAAUGGGUCUUGCUCAGAAAGUGGGUGAGGUCGAAAAUAAGACAAAGUGAGACUUA
rnacentral:lncRNA from 1 species